rnacentral:lncRNA from 1 species
GGUGGGUUCUUCUCUGGUAAGAAGAAGGAUGCAGUGUAAAAUCUAGAUGACCAUGUUGCAGUUUCCCUGGACAAGGUCUCAACUCUGGUGCAGGCAAAGAGUACACUUGAAUAUAAAAUCAAAGAAUGGAAUAAGAAAUUUGAGCCUGGGCUAAUGAUCAAGGAGAAAAACAGGACAACAAGAAGUAUUACCAGAUAAUUACAGAACUUAAAAAAUUUCAGAUGCAAACACUGACAAUGCAACUUCAUGCUACAGAUCGUCAGCGUAAAACUAGCAGCUGUGGACUUCAGACAGAGAUUGAACUGACCCUGCGCUGGAGCGUCAAGCUGACAUCAACAGUCUGCACCAAGUCCGGAAUGACAUGACUUUGUCCAAGAUGAUCUAGAAAUGCAGAUUGAAACCCGGCGGAGGAGUUCACUCAUCUCAAAAAGAACCAGGAAGCAGGCUCUGAGUUGCAGGUGGAAUGGGUCAGCCCACCUGGAGCUGAUCUAACACAGCUCCUCAUGACAUGAGAAUGCACUAUGAAGCCAUGGCCAAUCACAAUCACCAAGAUGCUGAAAUUAGAUUCAACAAUCGCUGCUGCAUCCAAUUCUGCUAAGACUGAGACGAAUGUACAGGAGCCAGCCUUGUAGGCCCUGGAGAUUGAACUACAGUCU